rnacentral:lncRNA from 1 species
CAAACACUCCAAAGUCAGCAGGAGGAAGUAGAAAUGAGACAGAGGCCUCUGUCUCCUAAUCUUUUCCAUAGGCUACUGUUUUCUUUCUUUUCUCAUGAGGAAAAAUGAUAAAAGCAAAAUAAACAAAUUAGCUACCACUUAUGAAAAUCCCCAGGAAAUUCCUUUUCCAGAGUUCUCACUUACUAAUUUGGCUAACAUUACCAAUGGUAACAGACCCCACGUAUCCGCCACAAUUGCUGUGAGUUGCAGAGGAAAAAGACUGGGAGGAAAUCUUCACUUUUCUUCUGCAACAGCAACCAACAGAAAUGAAAGAGCCAGGGGAUUUUGCAAAAUAUCAACUCCUGAGAACUAAGAAUGAGAGCCUUUCCUGCCAAGCCCAUUCUGUGCCAGUCAUCAUAAAAUACUCCAGAAGAUUCUACCUGUGGAUCAGAAACUAGACCCUCACCAGACACCAAAUCUGCUGGAGUAUGGACUUCCUAGCUUCUAGAACUCUUGGAAAGUGUGCUUCUGCAACAUGGCAGUCGAGCCCCACAUCAAAGAAGCAAAAUAUAGAAUAACAGCAUAAAAAAGAAAAUUCUUUUUGGAGCCAAAAAAAUGAUCAAAACAAAGCUUCAAAGGGAUUCUAUAGCACAUCCUUGAAUUGUGUUUAUCCAAUCCACAUUUCUCUUCUGCUGGACAUUCAGAGGACUGUUUCUCACUAAUAUCAGUUGGAUACCCUCCUUCUCCUUCCUUUGGACAUCAGAACUCCAGGUUCUCCAGUCUUUGGACUCCAGCAUUUGCACAAACACCUGAAGGUUCUCAGGCCUUCCGCCUUGGAAUUGGAGCUACACCACUGGCUUCCCUGGCUCUCCAGCUUGCUGAGGGCAUAUUGUAUAACUCCUCAGCUUACCUAAUUGCAUGAACCCCUAAUAAGUUCUAUCUAGUGCCCUAUUGGUUAUGUCUUUCUGGAGAACCCUAAUACAAAUAUCAUACUUAAAUUUCACUGUUCAUUUCAAUAAAUAUUUAUUGAGCACAUUUCUGUGUUAGAGACAGAGACAUCUGUACUUGAAUCUCUCAAGCAAAUCUCCAUCUUUAAAGAAUGUAACCUGAAUUUUUUGAUCAUUCAAAUCAAAGUAUUCUCAUAAGUAACAUUUAAUGUAACUUGUUAAUUUUCCAAUGAUUCUUACUCUCAGAAAUUGUUUGGUUGCUUCAUGAAAUUAUUACAAUGAAAUAUUUCUUCUAAAAAACUUCCUCAGCUAUUUGUCUCAGUCAGCUAGGGCUGAUAUACCAAAAUACCAUAGACUGGGUGGCUUAAACAAUAGACAUUUAUUUCUCAUAAUUCUGGAGGCAACAUGCCCAAGAUCAGGGUGCCAGUAUGGCCAGGUUCUUAUUGAGGGCUCUCUUCCUCACUUGCUGAUGGUCACCUUUCUGCUGUAUCCUCACAUAGUGGAGAGUGAAAGUUCUGAUGUUUCUCCCUCUUCUUAUAAGGACUGAUGCCAUCAUGGAGGCUUUACCCUUAUGACCACAUCUAAACCUAAUUCCUUUUCAAGAGCCCCACCUCCUAAUACCAUGACACUGGGGAUUAGGGCUUCAACAUAUGGACUUUGGUGGACCACCAACUUCAGUCCCUAACACCACUGCUAUAAGAAUGAAUGUUUGUGUCUCCCCAAAUUCAUAUUUUGCAAUCUAAUCCUUAAUGGUAUAAUAUGAGAAGGUGGGGCCAUUGGGAGAUGAUUAAGUCAUGAAGGCUCUGCCCACAUGAAUGGCAUUAAUGCCCUUAUAAAAGAAACCCCAGAGAGCUAGCUGGCCUUGUCUGUCAUGUAAGCAUGCAGCAAGAAGGUGCCAUGAGCAAGAGAGCAAGCCUUCACCAGACACCAAAUCUGCCAGCAGCUUGAUUGUGGACUUAUCAGCCUCCAGAACUGUGAGCAAUAAAGUUUCUUUUGUUUAUAGACUAUACAGUUCAUGGUACUUUGUUAUAGCAGCCCAAAAGUACUAAGACAACUACCUCUUGGGAGACUUCUAGGUGUGCUCAUUACAACCUUCUUGACCUGGACCUCAUCUGUGUUGCUGAUUUAUGUGUCAGUAAUGGGAACAACAACAAAGACUGUCAAAGGCAGGAAAAUAGCAUAUAUUCAAGGACUUUAAUAGGAAAAAAGGGCAGGAUUUAACUUGAUAAUGCCAUAAUUGUCUUAACACCAAACUGAAAGAAGUGGCAUCACUAGAGCUGUGGCAAAGGAUCAACAGCUGGGGAGGUGCGAGAGACUGAAGGAAGAUUCAAAGUGCUCCAGGAAGUUUCUUACCAGCAUUAUCUCCUGACCAUGUGAGGGUUUUCUGUGCUUUCUUCAUCAGGCCUUUUUCAGUUAUGAGUGAAUCCCAAAUCAAACUGACUUAAGAAACACAAAAGUAAGCAUGAAAUAUAUUAGCUCUUGAAUACCUGGGAAGUUCAAGGAUCCAAGUCAUGACUGGAUGUAGGGGUUCAAAUAUUGUCCCUAGAACUAAGGGUAUUUCCAUUUCUUAGCUCUCAGAAUCUCUGCUUCACCCCAGAUAGUCUCUGCCCACAUGGUGGCCCCAAGCAGUACUCCAUGUAACCAUGAUGUCCAGGGACACAGAAUGUUCUGAUUGGCCGAGCUUGUAUCAUGUGCCUACCCUGGGGACUAAGGGGUGUGGUUAGUCCCACUUGAACCACAUGACUUGGGGGUAGGAUCUGGUCCCUAAGAAGAGAUAAGAACCUUUUGAUUAAAAGAUGGGGAGAAGAGAUGUUAGGAUUUCAGUUCUCCAUGACUAGUGUCUGGCUGCAACCCCAGGCAGGCAGUGUCCAUUAAAACUUCAGGCUUUAAGGUCAAACAGACCUGUAUUCAUAUCCUAGGUCUGCCACUUCCUAGCAGUGGGGACUCAGGAAAGUUGCAUAAUCUCUCUGUAUCUAUCUAUAAAGUGGAAAUAUUAAUUAUACCUUGCUCAUAGAUUUCCUGUGAGGAUUAUAUGAGACCAUGAGUGUAUAGAAAGCACAAUAUAGUACCCGGCAAACAGUAACCAAGCACUUAAAUAUGUAAAGAAGGACGUGUGACUGACAAGCAUAGAUAAUUUAGAGACAAAAUGAAUUUUAUCUCUGAAAAGUCAUGGGCACCUUUUAAAAUCAUUGAUAAGAAGAUGGAAACAAAACUCAAACUUAAUUCAUCUACUGGUAUGAAAUGUUUCAUAGGUGUACUAAGGUGUUUCUCAAACAUUUCGUAAGGAUUUCCAUCACUACAUUAAAGAUUUUCUCAAUGGUUUCAUGACUUCAGAGAGGUAACCACUAUUUAGCUUCUGCACCUUUACUAAAAGUAUGUGCAUGAUUUAGGAGAAAUAUUUUGAAAUAUUAGGGUUUUUCACAGCCCUAAAUUACUCUUUUGUGGUCAUCGGCAAAUGCAGGCUACCUGGUUAUAUAUUUUGAUGGGGAAGAAGAGGGGAAAUUCAGGACCUACAUAAGAGAUUAAAGUAAAAUCUAAUACAAAAUUGAGAUUGGUAACACAGCACAGAAGUGCCAAAACUGCAUGGAUAAGUGAUUUUGAAAACCAUCAAACAGACAUUCCACAAGGUCAACCAAAAUGCAGUGUGCCGGAGAGUAAUGAGUGACUUUAGUCCAAUAGUUAUUCAAGUGCCUGAGAGAAAGUUUUUCUCUUCUGCUAGCCUCUUUCCCUUAUAGGAGAAUAUUAUGUAAUGCAUACAUUUCAUCUUACCUUUAAUUGCCUGGUUUAAUAAUAAAUACUUAACAAUUUUUUUGUAAUUUUUGCCAUACCGGAGGAGAAAUCUGUCUUGGUGUUGGAGCCUCUUGGAAUUCGUGACAAGGAAAAAAGUACACCAAGUAAACUAGUAAAACAAAAGUGAGAAGGCCCUUGACAGAUGUGAGCCCCUUGACCUUGGACUUCCCAGCCUCAAGAACCACAAGCCAAAUAAAUUUCUGUUCAUUAUACAUUA